AGUGAACGCUGGCGGUAGGCCUAACACAUGCAAGUCGAACGGCAGCACAGUAAGAGCUUGCUCUUACGGGUGGCGAGUGGCGGACGGGUGAGGAAUACAUCGGAAUCUACUUUUUCGUGGGGGAUAACGUAGGGAAACUUACGCUAAUACCGCAUACGACCUACGGGUGAAAGCAGGGGAUCUUCGGACCUUGCGCGAUUGAAUGAGCCGAUGUCGGAUUAGCUAGAUGGCGGGGUAAAGGCCCACCAAGGCGACGAUCCGUAGCUGGUCUGAGAGGAUGAUCAGCGACACUGGAACUGAGACACGGUCCAGACUACUACGGGAGGCAGCAGUGGGGAAUAUUGGACAAUGGGCGCAAGCCUGAUCCAGCCAUAGCGCGUGGGUGAAGAAGGCCUUCGGGUUGUAAAGCCCUUUUGUUGGGAAAGAAAAGCAGCAGGUUAAUACCCCGCUGUUCUGACGGUACUCAAAGAAUAAGCACCGGCUAACUUCGUG
rnacentral:rRNA from 1 species